rnacentral:rRNA from 1 species
AUACGUAGGGGGCGAGCGUUAUCCGGAAUUAUUGGGCGUAAAGAGUGCGUAGGUGGCUACCUAAGUGCAGGGUCUAAGACAAAGGCUUAACCAUUGUCCGCCCUGCGAACUGGGCUGCUUGAGUGCAGGAGAGGAAAGCGGAAUUCCUAGUGUAGCGGUGAAAUGCGUAGAUAUUAGGAGGAACACCGGUGGCGAAGGCGGCUUUCUGGACUGUUACUGACACUGAGGCACGAAAGCGUGGGGAGCAAACAGGAUUAGAUACCCUGGUAGUCCACGCCGUAAACGAUGAGCACUAGGUGUCGGGCCCGCGAGGGUUCGGUGCCGGAGUUAACGCAUUAAGUGCUCCGCCUGGGGAGUACGCACGCAAGGUUGAA